rnacentral:rRNA from 1 species
AGACCCGCAGAUAUCCGAAUGGGGAAACCCGGUACGGCAAUACCGUAUCACUGCAUGGUAAAUACAUAGCCAUGUGGAGGAAACCCUCUGAACUGAAACAUCUAAGUAGGAGGAGGAAGAGAAAGAAACAUCGAUUUCCUAAGUAGCGGCGAGCGAAAGGGAAAGAGGCCAAACCAGAGAUAGCAAUAUCUUUGGGGUUGCGGACUGCGUAAUUGAUUCAAUAUUUUUAGCAGAAGUGUAUGGGAAGACACACCAUAGUAGGUAAUAGUCCUGUAAGCGAAAAGGAUAUUGACAAGGCAGGAUCCAGAGUACCACCGGACACGAGGAACCCGGUGGGAAGCCGGGGGGACCACCCCCCAAGCCUAAAUACUACCUGAUGACCGAUAGUGAAAAGUACAGUGAUGGAAAGUUGAAAAGAACCCCGGAAGGGGAGUGAAAAAGAAUCUGAAACCCUAUGUUUACAAGCUGCUAAAGCACUAUAUAUGUGCGAUAGCGUACUUUUUGUAGAACGGUCCGGCGAGUGUAUGUUGCAAGCGAGGUUAAGGUGUUAAGCACUGAAGCCGAAGGGAGACCGAGUGUGAAUAGCGCGUACAGUUUGCAGUAUACGACCCGAAACCGGGUGACCUAACCAUGGACAGGUUGAAGUGGAAGUAAAAUUCCAUGGAGGACCGAACCCACGUCUGUUGAAAAAGGCGGGGAUGAGCUGUGGUUAGCGGUGAAAUUCCAAUCGAACUCGGAUAUAGCUGGUUCUCAUCGAAAUAGCUUUAGGGCUAGCCUCAGGAUAGUUUAGCGGAGGUAAAGCACUGAAUGGGCUAGGGGGCUUCACGGCUUACCGAACCCUAUCAAACUCUGAAUGCCGCAUAAAUGUUUCCUGGGAGUCAGACUGCGUGAGAUAAGUUUCGUAGUCAAAAGGGAAAGAGCCCAGACCUACAGCUAAGGUCCCUAAAUGAAUUUAAGUGGAAAAGGAUGUGCAGUUGCGUAGACAACUAGGACGUUGGCUUAGAAGCAGCCACUCAUUUAAAGAGUGCGUAAUAGCUCACUAGUCGAGUGAUUGUGCGCCGAAAAUGUAACGGGGCUAAAAUUCAUACCGAAGCUUAGGAAUGAUAGUAAUAUUGUUGGUAGAUGAGCGUUGUGUAAGCCUGAGAAGCUACACCGAAAGGAGUAGUGGAGGUAUCACAAGUGAGAAUGCCGGAAUGAGUAGCGAGAAUUAUGUGAGAAUCAUAAUGGUCGAAAAUCUAAGGUUUCUUGAGGAAGGUUCGUCCGCUCAAGGUAAGCCGGGAGCUAAGGCGAGGCCGAGAGGCGUAGUCGAUGCACAUACGGUAAAGAUUCCGUAGCCACCGAAGUCGUUAAAUACAGGGACACAGGAACAUAGCCUAACCCCACCGUUGGUUGAGUGGGGCGUAAGGGAGCGAAAAUUAGUAGCGAAGUAGGUGAUUGUACACUGGCGAGAAAAGCUGUAUGAAUUGACAAGGUGCCCGUACCGCAAACCGACACAGGUAGAUGAGGAGAGAAUCCUAAGACCAGCGGGAGAAGUGUUGUUAAGGAACUCGGCAAAAUGACCCCGUAACUUCGGGAUAAGGGGAGCCUACGCGAGUAGGCCGCAGAGAAUAGUCUCAAGCGACUGUUUAGCAAAAACACAGGUCUAUGCUAAAUCGAAAGAUGAUGUAUAUGGGCUGACGCCUGCCCGGUGCUGGAAGGUUAAGGGGAAGUGUUAGAGCAAUCGAAGCACUGAACUUAAGCCCCAGUAAACGGCGGCCGUAACUAUAACGGUCCUAAGGUAGCGAAAUUCCUUGUCAGGUAAGUUCUGACCCGCACGAAUGGCGUAACGACUUGAGAGCUGUCUCAACAACAUACCCGGCGAAAUUGAAGUACUGGUAAAGAUGCCAGUUACCCGUGAUAAGACGGAAAGACCCCAUGGAGCUUUACUGUAACUUGAUAUUGAAUUUUUGUAUUACAUGUACAGGAUAGGUGGGAGACAGAGAACUAAUGCCGCCAGGUGUUAGGGAGUCGAUGUUGGGAUACCACUCUUGUAAUAUGAAGGUUCUAACCUGCACCCGUGAAUCCGGGUGGGGGACACUGUCAGGUGGACAGUUUGACUGGGGCGGUCGCCUCCUAAAAGGUAACGGAGGCGUUCAAAGGUUGGUUCAGCACGGACGGAAAUCGUGCAACGAGUGCAAACGCAUAAACCAGCCUAACUGCGAGACCGACAAGUCGAGCAGUAACGAAAGUUGGAGUUAGUGAUCCGGCGGUA